UAUAUGCCUAUAAGUAUGAGAAUUAACAAGCAGCCUGAGAAUAAAGUAACGGAGGGUGAGCUGUGUUUAGGAAAAAGUAUCACCCGGUUGGCGUAAUAAAUAAAAGAGGUUGGGGAUUGUUGGCUGCCAAACGAAAAAUCUCAGGAGGCCUAAAUAAAAGGGAUCGUGGGCUGCGAAUCAAAAAACCCUGGUUAGUAUAAAUAAAGGAAAUUGUGGGCUCUGAAAUGAAAAAUUCUGGUUGACAUAAAUAAAGUGGAUUGUGGGCUACGAAACGAAUAAUCUCAAUUGAGCACGAUUGUUGUAUGCUAAACGAAAAAUAAAACCGACUGUGGUCUGCGAAAUAAAAAAUAAGCAAAGGCCUCCCGGUUGGCAUAAAUUAAAUGCUAUGAAAUGAAGAAAAUAAAUAAAUGGGCAUGGUUGAACAAUUUCAGUAUUUUAUACUAAUACUAUUUUCAUUUAAAGGCUGAAUUUUGUCACCCCGUUGCAACACACGGGCAUAUGUCCUAGAAGAUAUUUGGAAUGCAGAGUUCAUGAAAACAAAUAUUUGUGCGGUCUAAAUAGUACUGUAUUUAGUUUUCUGGAAGGAUGCAAAAGUCAUACUGGGCUUCCUGUGUAUAUUGAUUGCUAAAUGAUGCAAUAGUAUAUGUGCGCUGGGGGAGUGUCAUUCCUUGUGUUUACCGAUUGGCCUCACCCUCUUAAGAGGUCUAACCCUUGUCACCAUAAGGAAAAAAGCAAAGAGUAUUAUGACGCCAUAAAGUUUGAAUUCAGAGAAGUAUAUGCUGAAGAACACUAGAAUUAGUCUUCAUGAACCAUCAUCGCCUUGUUGAUGAUGCUUCACAUGUAAGUUUUCUGGUCCUUUGACAAGGUCUUCCAAUUAUUUAGAAGCGAUGUCAAAUGGUAUGUUCCCUUUUUUAUUUUAA